GGAGUUAGCCGGUGCUUCUUCUGUGAGUGAUGUCCUUCCUGCCGGCUAUUAACCCGCAGGCCUUCUUCCUCACUGAAAGUGCUUUACAACCCGAAGGCCUUCUUCACACACGCGGCAUGGCUGGAUCAGGGUUGCCCCCAUUGUCCAAUAUUCCCCACUGCUGCCUCCCGUAGGAGUCUGGGCCGUGUCUCAGUCCCAGUGUGGCUGAUCAUCCUCUCAGACCAGCUACGGAUCGUCGCCUUGGUGAGCCGUUACCUCACCAACCAGCUAAUCCGACAUAGGCUCAUCCGAUAGCGCGAGGCCCGAAGGUCCCCCGCUUUCCCCCGUAGGGCGUAUGCGGUAUUAGCCUGGGUUUCCCCAGGUUAUCCCCCACUACCGGGCAGAUUCCUAUGCAUUACUCACCCGUCCGCCGCUCGCCACCAGGGAGCAAGCUCCCCGUGCUGCCGCUCGACUUGCAUGUGUUAGGCCUGCCGCCAGCGUUCAAUCUGAGCAUAAUACAACUACUGA
rnacentral:rRNA from 1 species